rnacentral:rRNA from 1 species
GGUUAAGCGACUAAGCGUACACGGUGGAUGCCCUGGCAGUCAGAGGCGAUGAAGGACGUGCUAAUCUGCGAAAAGCGUCGGUAAGGUGAUAUGAACCGUUACAGCCGGCGAUGUCCGAAUGGGGAAACCCAGUGCAAUUCGUUGCACUAUCGUUAACUGAAUACAUAGGUUAACGAGGCGAACCGGGGGAACUGAAACAUCUAAGUACCCCGAGGAAAAGAAAUCAACCGAGAUUCCCCCAGUAGCGGCGAGCGAACGGGGAGCAGCCCAGAGUCUGAAUCAGCUUGUGUGUUAGUGGAACGGUCUGGAAAGUCCGACGGUACAGGGUGAUAGUCCCGUACACCAAAAUGCACAGGCUGUGAACUCGAAGAGUAGGGCGGGACACGUGGUAUCCUGUCUGAAUAUGGGGGGACCAUCCUCCAAGGCUAAAUACUCCUGACUGACCGAUAGUGAACCAGUACCGUGAGGGAAAGGCGAAAAGAACCCCGGCGAGGGGAGUGAAAAAGAACCUGAAACCGUGUACGUACAAGCAGUGGGAGCACCUUCGGGUGUGACUGCGUACCUUUUGUAUAAUGGGUCAGCGACUUAUAUUCUGUAGCAAGGUUAACCGUAUAGGGGAGCCGCAGGGAAACCGAGUCUUAACUGGGCGUUAAGUUGCAGGGUAUAGACCCGAAACCCGGUGAUCUAGCCAUGGGCAGGUUGAAGGUUGGGUAACACUAACUGGAGGACCGAACCGACUAAUGUUGAAAAAUUAGCGGAUGACUUGUGGCUGGGGGUGAAAGGCCAAUCAAACCGGGAGAUAGCUGGUUCUCCCCGAAAGCUAUUUAGGUAGCGCCUCGUGAAUUCAUCUUCGGGGGUAGAGCACUGUUUCGGCUAGGGGGUCAUCCCGACUUACCAACCCGAUGCAAACUACGAAUACCGAAGAAUGUUAUCACGGGAGACACACGGCGGGUGCUAACGUCCGUCGUGAAGAGGGAAACAACCCAGACCGCCAGCUAAGGUCCCAAAGUCAUGGUUAAGUGGGAAACGAUGUGGGAAGGCACAGACAGCCAGGAUGUUGGCUUAGAAGCAGCCAUCAUUUAAAGAAAGCGUAAUAGCUCACUGGUCGAGUCGGCCUGCGCGGAAGAUGUAACGGGGCUAAACCAUGCACCGAAGCUGCGGCAGCGACACUAUGUGUUGUUGGGUAGGGGAGCGUUCUGUAAGCCUGCGAAGGUGACCUGUGAGGGUUGCUGGAGGUAUCAGAAGUGCGAAUGCUGACAUAAGUAACGAUAAAGCGGGUGAAAAGCCCGCUCGCCGGAAGACCAAGGGUUCCUGUCCAACGUUAAUCGGGGCAGGGUGAGUCGACCCCUAAGGCGAGGCCGAAAGGCGUAGUCGAUGGGAAACAGGUUAAUAUUCCUGUACUUGGUGUUACUGCGAAGGGGGGACGGAGAAGGCUAUGUUAGCCGGGCGACGGUUGUCCCGGUUUAAGCAUGUAGGCUGGUUGUCCAGGCAAAUCCGGAUAAUCAAGGCUGAGGUGUGAUGACGAGGCACUACGGUGCUGAAGUAACAAAUGCCCUGCUUCCAGGAAAAGCCUCUAAGCAUCAGGUAACAUUAAAUCGUACCCCAAACCGACACAGGUGGUCAGGUAGAGAAUACCAAGGCGCUUGAGAGAACUCGGGUGAAGGAACUAGGCAAAAUGGUGCCGUAACUUCGGGAGAAGGCACGCUGGUGUGUAGGUGAAGUCCCUGCGGAUGGAGCUGAGACCAGUCGAAGAUACCAGCUGGCUGCAACUGUUUAUUAAAAACACAGCACUGUGCAAACACGAAAGUGGACGUAUACGGUGUGACGCCUGCCCGGUGCCGGAAGGUUAAUUGAUGGGGUUAUCCGUAAGGAGAAGCUCUUGAUCGAAGCCCCGGUAAACGGCGGCCGUAACUAUAACGGUCCUAAGGUAGCGAAAUUCCUUGUCGGGUAAGUUCCGACCUGCACGAAUGGCGUAAUGAUGGCCAGGCUGUCUCCACCCGAGACUCAGUGAAAUUGAACUCGCUGUGAAGAUGCAGUGUACCCGCGGCAAGACGGAAAGACCCCGUGAACCUUUACUAUAGCUUGACACUGAACAUUGAGCCUUGAUGUGUAGGAUAGGUGGGAGGCUUUGAAGCGUGGACGCCAGUCUGCGUGGAGCCAACCUUGAAAUACCACCCUUUAAUGUUUGAUGUUCUAACGUUGGCCCCUUACCGGGGUUGCGGACAGUGUCUGGUGGGUAGUUUGACUGGGGCGGUCUCCUCCCAAAGCGUAACGGAGGAGCACGAAGGUUAGCUAAUCCUGGUCGGACAUCAGGAGGUUAGUGCAAUGGCAUAAGCUAGCUUGACUGCGAGCGUGACGGCGCGAGCAGGUGCGAAAGCAGGUCAUAGUGAUCCGGUGGUUCUGAAUGGAAGGGCCAUCGCUCAACGGAUAAAAGGUACUCCGGGGAUAACAGGCUGAUACCGCCCAAGAGUUCAUAUCGACGGCGGUGUUUGGCACCUCGAUGUCGGCUCAUCACAUCCUGGGGCUGAAGUAGGUCCCAAGGGUAUGGCUGUUCGCCAUUUAAAGUGGUACGCGAGCUGGGUUUAGAACGUCGUGAGACAGUUCGGUCCCUAUCUGCCGUGGGCGCUGGAGAAUUGAGGGGGGCUGCUCCUAGUACGAGAGGACCGGAGUGGACGCAUCACUGGUGUUCGGGUUGUCAUGCCAAUGGCACUGCCCGGUAGCUAAAUGCGGAAGAGAUAAGUGCUGAAAGCAUCUAAGCACGAAACUUGCCCCGAGAUGAGUUCUCCCUGAGACUUUAAGUCUCCUGAAGGAACGUUGAAGACGACGACGUUGAUAGGCCGGGUGUGUAAGCGCAGCGAUGCGUUGAGCUAACCGGUACUAAUGAACCGUGAGGCUUAACCUU